rnacentral:rRNA from 1 species
AUUGAACGCUGGCGGCAUGCCUUACACAUGCAAGUCGAACGGCAGCGGGGACUUCGGUCCGCCGGCGAGUGGCGAACGGGUGAGUAAUGUAUCGGAACGUACCAUUGAGUGGGGGAUAACGUAGCGAAAGUUACGCUAAUACCGCAUAUUCUCUCCGGAGGAAAGCAGGGGACCGCAAGGCCUUGCGCUCUUUGAGCGGCCGAUAUCAGAUUAGCUAGUUGGUGGGGUAAAAGCUCACCAAGGCGACGAUCUGUAGCGGGUCUGAGAGGAUGGUCCGCCACACUGGAACUGAGACACGGUCCAGACUCCUACUGGAGUCAGCAGUGGGGAAUUUUGGACAAUGGGGGGAACCCUGAUCCAGCCAUGCGGCGUGAGUGAAGAAGGCCUUCGGGUUGUAAAGCUCUUUCGGCCGGGAAAAAACCGCAUGGGUUAAUACCCUGUGUGGAUGAUGGUACCGGAAUAAGAAGCACCGGCUAACUACGUGCCAGCCGCCGCCGUAA